ACACGGGUAUGCUCAGUACGGCGAGUGAAGCGGCAAGAGCUCAAAUUUGAAAUCUGGCCCCCUCGGGGUCCGAGUUGUAAUUUGCAGAGGAUGCUUCGGGUGCGGCCCCCGUCUAAGUGCCCUGGAACGGGCCGUCAUAGAGGGUGAGAAUCCCGUCUGGGACGGGGUGUCCGUGCCCGUGUGAAGCUCCUUCGACGAGUCGAGUUGUUUGGGAAUGCAGCUCUAAAUGGGUGGUAAAUUUCAUCUAAAGCUAAAUACUGGCCGGAGACCGAUAGCGCACAAGUAGAGUGAUCGAAAGAUGAAAAGCACUUUGAAAAGAGAGUUAAAUAGCACGUGAAAUUGUUGAAAGGGAAGCGCUUGCGACCAGACUCGCCCGCGGGGUUCAGCCGGCAUUCGUGCCGGUGUACUUCCCCGUGGGCGGGCCAGCGUCGGUUUGGGCGGCCGGUCAAAGGCCCCCGGAAUGUAGUGCCCUUCGGGGCACCUUAUAGCCGGGGGUGCAAUGCGGCCAGCCUGGACCGAGGAACGCGCUUCGGCACGGACGCUGGCAUAAUGGUUGCAAACGACCCGUCUUGAA
rnacentral:rRNA from 1 species